rnacentral:rRNA from 1 species
UCCUGUACCACCUAUAAUCGUUUUAAUCGAUGGGGGGACGCAGUAGGAUAGGCGAAGCGUGCGAUUGGAUUGCACGUCUAAGCAGUAAGGCUGAGUAUUAGGCAAAUCCGGUACUCGUUAAGGCUGAGCUGUGAUGGGGAGAAGACAUUGUGUCUUCGAGUCGUUGAUUUCACACUGCCGAGAAAAGCCUCUAGAUAGAAAAUAGGUGCCCGUACCGCAAACCGACACAGGUAGUCAAGAUGAGAAUUCUAAGGUGAGCGAGCGAACUCUCGUUAAGGAACUCGGCAAAAUGACCCCGUAACUUCGGGAGAAGGGGUGCUCUUUAGGGUUAACGCCCAGAAGAGCCGCAGUGAAUAGGCCCAAGCGACUGUUUAUCAAAAACACAGGUCUCUGCUAAACCGUAAGGUGAUGUAUAGGGGCUGACGCCUGCCCGGUGCUGGAAGGUUAAGAGGAGUGGUUAGCUUCUGCGAAGCUACGAAUCGAAGCCCCAGUAAACGGCGGCCGUAACUAUAACGGUCCUAAGGUAGCGAAAUUCCUUGUCGGGUAAGUUCCGACCCGCACGAAAGGCGUAACGAUUUGGGCACUGUCUCAACGAGAGACUCGGUGAAAUCAUAGUACCUGUGAAGAUGCAGGUUACCCGCGACAGGACGGAAAGACCCCGUGGAGCUUUACUGUAGCCUGAUAUUGAAAUUCGGCACAGCUUGUACAGGAUAGGUAGGAGCCUUUGAAACGUGAGCGCUAGCUUACGUGGAGGCGCUGGUGGGAUACUACCCUAGCUGUGUUGGCUUUCUAACCCGCACCACUUAUCGUGGUGGGAGACAGUGUCAGGCGGGCAGUUUGACUGGGGCGGUCGCCUCCUAAAAGGUAACGGAGGCGCUCAAAGGUUCCCUCAGAAUGGUUGGAAAUCAUUCAUAGAGUGUAAAGGCAUAAGGGAGCUUGACUGCGAGACCUACAAGUCGAGCAGGGUCGAAAGACGGACUUAGUGAUCCGGUGGUUCCGCAUGGAAGGGCCAUCGCUCAACGGAUAAAAGCUACCCCGGGGAUAACAGGCUUAUCUCCCCCAAGAGUUCACAUCGACGGGGAGGUUUGGCACCUCGAUGUCGGCUCAUCGCAUCCUGGGGCUGUAGUCGGUCCCAAGGGUUGGGCUGUUCGCCCAUUAAAGCGGUACGCGAGCUGGGUUCAGAACGUCGUGAGACAGUUCGGUCCCUAUCCGUCGUGGGCGUAGGAAAUUUGAGAGGAGCUGUCCUUAGUACGAGAGGACCGGGAUGGACAUACCUCUGGUGUACCAGUUGUCGUGCCAACGGCAUAGCUGGGUAGCUAUGUGUGGACGGGAUAAGUGCUGAAAGCAUCUAAGCAUGAAGCCCCCCUCAAGAUGAGAUUUCCCAACUUCGGUUAUAAGAUCCCUCAAAGAUGAUGAGGUUAAUAGGUUCGAGGUGGAAGCAUGGUGACAUGUGGAGCUGACGAAUACUAAUCGAUCGAAGACUUAAUCAA